ensembl:lncRNA
UUGUGUGUGUGCUCAAAAACUGUAUACUCUCUUCUGCACAGAAAUGACUUUCUCUGUUAGGUAGGGGAAUGUCCUCUGGCAGCACCACCCUAUGUUCCCAGCUUUCUCAGGGGCAAGUAAAAAAUGCCUCUUCUGAGCCUGCGCGUGUUACUCCUCUCCAAAGCCCUGGCCAGUCACUGAAGCAGGGGAGCCGAGGUCCUGUGAUUGGGCCGCUGCUGGUCAGUCGUGCAUCAUCAGACCAGUCACCUGGGGCUGGGGAGACAGGAUCGUGAGGUCUCCUGAGAAGAUGGCUGCUCUCAUUCAGAGGACUUGUUAAAGGAGUUCCGCAGGAGUAGGGUAGUGCUGGGUGGACUCCAAAAGUCCUCUGCGACUCUCCUACAGAAGACUCUUCAGUGGCUCCUCAGUCUACAGGAUGUUCCUCAGAAGCACACGCGUCCUUUGGGUUAACCUUUGUGGUUCCUUUCCUCGCUCUCCGGUUCUGAACGAAUUUCUGUUCCUCAGUUAAACGGUUCUGUGCCCCUGCACUGCCCAGUCUCAUCUACUUAGCAAACUCCUAUUUAACUUUCAAGAUUCCAUUCUGAUGUCACUUCCUUGGAGAGACAUUCCUGCCUCAUCAUCCUUCCCCAGGCAAUUUCUUCCUCCUAUGUACUUGCCAACUGGCUGCCAAAUAGGUUUGGCCAAAAGGAUACAAUGGUAGGAGAUUGAAAAACGGGAGAAGAUGUAACCAGAAUAUUUCAACUCUUUCUCUGCAUUGAGUGAUGUCUCUGGCAGACAAACACUAUCUUCCAGAGCCGGUCUGCUGGGGACAAGAGUGUGCAGAGUUCACAGAUCUGCCAUCAACAGCCCAAUGCCUAAAUGUCUGACUUGUGAUGGAAAUGCCUGUUCCCAUGGAGCCGCUGCUUCCAAGAAAGCUUGCCACAGACAAAGACAAGGCAGAAAAUGGCCUCCUCACUGAAGAUGAAAAGAAGCUGCACUGAUGAGGAAAUCUGUUCCCAACUCCUGUCACUAAAAUUUUCUCUUCUGCCUCUAAUUUUCUUUAUUGUGCACCCCCUGAAGCAUUUGCAUUUGUGUAUUGCAACACACAAUAGAUAAACUAUUGAUUCUAUAACCCAAUUUUGGUAAAUGCUACCAAAGUGGAGAGAAUAAUAUACAGAAAUAUAGGGCCUCCUGAUUACUUUAAGACUAAGAUUCAUCUCCCAUUGGGCCUUUAUAUUGUUGAGAGAACUCUAAAGAUCUAACAUAUACUUUGGAACAUUUGGAAGACAACAACAAUUACCUGUGUAUCAGCUUGUAUUGGUGUAUCGCAUACCUGUAGCUGUGCCUAUAUCAGAUUAUUAGAAUCAAUGCAUUUAAAAUACCUAACACAUGUCAGAUACAAUGCUGAGUACUGAGGAAACAAAGAUGGCAGGGUCCCCUGCCUUCCAGGAGCUCACACUUUAGAAAGAUAGGCGUAUGAAUAACUAUCUGUAGAAUAUUGUGCUCAUUUAUUUAGAAAAUGUAAUUGGAACACAGAUGACAUAACAAAGAACUGUGGUGGAGACGAAGAUAGAGUUUGAGAGAAAGGUAUAGGAGAAAAGACGUUUAUGCUGGGCUUCAAAAGAUGAAUUGAAAUUUUCCUGGCUGGACAAAGAUGGAAAGGGCAUUUCAGCAGAGAUAAAAACAAUAAAGACCUCAAACAUGGAAGUGCACGGCAUGCCUAAAGAACAUGUAAAGCUGAAGGGUUAGAAUGCUAGGUAAUAUUUCAGCAAGUGUGAUCAUCAACAUUACUAUCAUUUGGAGUGUUUGUUUAACUUUUCAGUUUCCUGAGCUCUAGACUGAACCUACUGAAUCAGACUAUCUGAAAAUGAGGAUGAGGAAUCUGAAUCUUGGAAAUGUGUGUGAUGAAUAAAGGUUGAGAACCAUCCUAUUUAGGUCGAGUCAGGAAUACAGGGAAGGACACAUUGACUCAAGACUCCAAGUUGCUCUGUGGUUAUAUGCUUAUAUACUAUUAGACUGAUCAAUUCAAUUCCAAAUGUGUUCAAUCAAAUAAAUAGAUUUCACUGUUUGUAAAUUUAUUAUUGUAAAUUGCAAAACUUCUGUAAACAGAAGCCCACUUACUAUAAAUUGAGUCAAAAGACAAAGAUCCAACUGUGCCUGUUCAAAAAUGGGAAGAUGUUUUCCAGACUGUUUUCGGCUCCAAAGAGAAUCUUCUUAUCUAACACUGGGAUCUUGAUUAAAAUCUCUCCCUUCUCAGCAGCAAAAAACUCUCUCAAGGAGUCUCAAAAGAGAGUCAGCUCAGGGGCUGGCCUGGUGGUGUAGUGGUUAAGUUUGCAAGCUCUGCUUUGGUGGCCCAGGAUUCACAAGUUUGUAUCCCAGGUGUGGACCUACACACCGAUAAUCAAGCCAUGCUGUAGCGGCAUUCCACAUACAAAGUAGAGAAGGAUGGGCACAGAUGUCAGUUGAAGGUCAAUCUUCCUCACAAAAGAGAGAGAGAGAGAGAGAGUCAUCUCAGAGCUGCUCACAGCAGUCUUUCCAUCCUUGAGCUUGGUUGUAUGACUACAUAGACUUGGGUGACAGCAGAGCCACUGUGAAGAGGACAAGGCAGAGAGCAAGCUGGAAAGUUGAAAGACUCCUUGUCUGAGGCACAGAGGCUGGACCAGAAGGACUGGAUGCCUCAGAGAGACAUUGACUUCUUUUCAAUGGGCACAUCAGCAUCAGUGCAAAUUGAUGAUCCCAGAUCAGAAGCAGACAACACAAAUUCGGCAGAGCAGCGCAGUAAAGCCAGAAUGAGAUAAAAUAUUGGCAGCCACUCAAAGCUAUGCACUUUCCCAACCUGUCCUCAGAGUGAUUUGGUGCUCAUUUUAGAGCCCAAUAGUAGUCCUAGCUACCUAUCACCCCAAUAAUUGCACACACAAAUACCUGCAAUUAAGUUACUAGCUUAAAAAUUGAUACACAAUUCAGUCAGUGUUGAUUUAAUGUUUCUCAACAAAACCUUUUUUUUCCCCUCUAAGGUAGUAUGUCUCAUAUAAUGGCCAAUGGACUCCAUCAUCAGACUCUUUGCUGACCUGGUUAAAAUGCAGACACUUGGGCACCAUCCCUGGCCUUUAGAACCAGACUCUCUGAGGUUAGGGUCCAGGAAUCUACAUUUUCACAUGCUCAUGCAGGUGAUUCUGAAGCACAUGAAAGUUGAAGAACCUCUACUUUAAAGUCCCUGGUCAAACAGGCCCUUUCCAGGUACUAUUGAAGAAAGAUAACUGAACGAGGAGCCCUCACUGGGGCCAAUCUGAUGGGGUAGAAGUUGUAUGGAAGUUGCAUGGAAUUGGUCCCUAACUGGGUGCAGGUUUAUUCAGGAAAUUAAUGGAACAGGCCAGCUACAAAAAUAUCUGAAUAUUUGGAUAACUGAAUUAAAAGAAUCAAGUUAUUUUGAUAUUGUGAAAACAGUAAAAAUUCAGCUCUUUAUAAUGUCCUUGCAUUAUUGUAGCUGUGUUUAUUAGGGAGACUAAUAAAUCAAACAUGGCUCAUAGAGACUAAGAGGGGAUUAUAAAAUAGUAGAGCUGGAAGAAACCUUAAAGAUGGCCUGGUCUGUUUUCUAUUUCACAAAUGAGGAAACCAGAGCCUGGGGAGGUCUAGUGAUCAAGGUCAUAUAGCUCAUUAGUGGCCAAGAACCAGAAUGUCCCGACUUCUAGUCUAUGGUGCCUCCCCGAGACUAGAAUAAAUCCCCAGUACUCAAAAGGUAAAAUAAUCUUUUUAUUUUUUCUUAAAAAGUGGCCUUAUCGGGGCCAGCCCCGUGGCCAAGUGGUUAAGUUCGUGCACUCCACUGUGGCGGCCCAGGGUUUCGCUGGUUCAGAUCCUGGGCAAGGACAUGGCACCGCUUGUCAGGCCACGUUGAGGUGGCGUUCCACAUGCCACAACUAGAAGGACCCACAACUAAGAUAUACAACUAUGUACAGGGGGGAUUUGGGGAGAUAAAGCAGAAAAAGAAAAAAAGAAGAUUGGCAACAGUUGUUAGGGCAGGUGCCAAUCUUUAAAAAAAAAAAGUAGCCUUAUCUUCUCAUUGAAAGAAAAAUUCACUCAAAUAAAAAGUAUAAACAAAGAUGCUGAUUCAUAGACCAAAUGGAAACUUAAAUGAUUUGAUGAUCCCAGGUUGAAACAUUCAUUCAAUUAUUUAUGCAUUCAUUCAGUAAGUAUUGUAGAAUGAUAGUUCUCCUCAUACCUAGAGAAAGCAGGAAAUACUCUCCAGAGAGAGAGAGGCAGUACCAUUUUGGUAAGAUGACACUGCAGAGAACUUGCUGUUUGGCUGACAAGCACUCCUUCACCUGUCUUCACCUGCCCCCAUCCAAUCUUCUGUCUCGCACUGUUUCUCAAGGUUUUCUUUUUCUUUUUUUUUUUGAGGAAGAUUAGCCCUGAGCUAACUACUGCCAAUCCUCCUCUUUUUGCUGAGGAAGACUGGCCCUGAGCUAACAUCCAUGCCCAUCUUCCUCUACUUUAUAUGUGGGACGCCUACCACAGCAUGGCUUUUGCCAAGUGGUACCAUGUCCGCACCUGGGAUUGAACUGGUGAAUUCCGGGCCGCCAAGAAGCAGAACGUGCGAACUUAACUGCUGUACCACCAGGCCGGCCCCUCUUUCUCAAGUUAAACCACCCACCCCAAUGGCCAGGCUCAUUCUCCCUCUUCACCUUCCCUUUUCUAUGCUCCAGUCUGAUAUGUCUUCCUAACCUCUCUUUGGUUGUCCAAAUUCUGUCAUUCAAAGACCAAGCUCAAGAGUCUUUGCCUCCUUCCUCAAGACUGUUCUCUCUUCUUGGAUCUCAAGUGCCUUCCCUUCAGUGAACUCCUGUUAUAACUCUUAUACUCCUGUUUUAUUCCUGUUAUACUGUUCUGAAUAAUAUACUGGUAUAAUUGUUUUCCAUUAGAAUUUUGCUAGUGUGGCUUUGGUAGGUAAUAGAAUGUGGUUGAAAGAGCACAGGGAUUGUAGGCUACAUUGCUACCGAAACGCCUGGCUUCCUUGUGACAUGCCUCACAGCUGUCUCCUGUUCAGCAACUUUCCCACCCUUAGUUCACUCCCUGACAGACCUGCUCCUCUUCCUUUGUUCCCCAUCUUGCUAAAUUAUGUGCCACAUCUAGCCAGAAACUGGGGGUCAUCUUUUACCGCUAUCACUUACUUACACAGUAAAAAACAUAAAGCAUAAUUUUCCCUCCUAGACAUCCCCAGAAUCCAUCCACUUCUCUUUACCGCCCCUCCUGCUACCAUCCUAGGCUGCCGCUCCCUAUUACCUAUAUUAUCAGAAUGACUCCUAACUCCGACCUUGCCCCCUUCAAUGUUUGCUCCAUUCUGCAGCCAGGAUGAUACUUCUUCCAUUCUCCUACUGUCGCUUCCAUUCAUUCUCUCACUUACUUAAACCUUCUGGUUCUCAGGAUAAAGUUCCAACUAUUCAAAGCCCUUUUGUGAUCAAGUCCCUUUCCAGCCUUCUGGCUCCAUCUUUUCUACUUGCCCACCUUGAACUUCAUCUCCAGCCAGACUGAACUGCUUGCACUAGUGCAUCCUACUGUCUAUUGCUGCUGGACCUUUGCACAUGCUGGUUUCUCUUCCUGGAAUGCCUUUCUUUCAUGUUUUUGCUUGAAUGUCCUCUGCUGAUUUUCAGGGACUGAGAAAUCUCUCUUUUUAGCUAGGAAGUUUCUCUGAUUCAGGUAUCAUUCUUGUGUAUUUUCCUAACAUUCUGAGUUUACUCCUUGUUAGGGGUUGAAUUGUGUUCCUCAAAAAGAUAUGUUAAAGUCCUGACCCCUGGUACCUGUGAAUAUGAACCUAUUUGGAAAUAGGGUCUUUGCAGAUAUAAUCAAGUUAAGAUGAGGUCAUUAGGGUGGGCCCUAAUCCAAUGACUGGUGUCCUUAAAAAGAAUGCCAUGUGAAGACGGAGACACACAGGAUGAAUGUUAUGUGAUGACAGAAGCAGAGAUUGGAAUGAUGCAGCUGUAAGCCAAGGAAUGCCAAGGAUUGACAGCCACCACCAGAAGCUAGGGAGAGGCAAGAAAGGUUUCUACUCUGAGUCUCAGAGGGAGCAUGGCCCUAAUGACACCUUGAUUUCAGACUCUUAGCCUCUAGAACUGUGAGAGAAUAAAUUUCUAUUGUUUUAAGCCACCCAGUUUGUGGUACUUUGUUACAACAGCCCUGGGAAACUAAUAUAUUCCUAUCGUGGUAAUUAUUGCACUAUAUUCUAUUGGCUGGGCAUUUUUGCUUAUCUUCUUCCUUCCUCAUUGAAAGGUGGUAUUGUCUUAGAUAUCUAUGAAAUACAAUGCACAGCUCAAUCCCUAGGACAUAGUAGUUGCUCAAUAAUUAGUGGGUGAAGAAGUCCCAUGCCAUAAAAAUGAACCGAAAUAUUUUAAUACCUCUAGCAAAGUACCUGACAUGGAGAAGUACUUAGUGAGUGUCGGUUGCCUUCCCUUUCAUCGCUCUAAUAGUAAAAAUCUGCUCAGAAGCAAGGACUUAGCUUUCUUCUUUCUUGUGCGCCUUCUAAACACCUGGAAUAGUGCAACAGAAACCACCGAGGCUCCCCAACCAUACAUGUGCUCCCCUACAUUCUCUAGCUUCCCUGGCAUUUAGAGUUAGGGUCAUGUACCGGAUUCAGGUCAGUGCACUAUGGAUAGAAAUGGUAUUAGCCAAAUGCUUCUAGCUUUACCCUCCAAGGGCUUCUUCCCAUACAUGGCAAUUUUAGGAGCUCCAUGGCAACUUUGGGGGCCCACAAACUGAAUAGCUAC